rnacentral:rRNA from 1 species
UACAGAGGGUGCAAGCGUGUUCGGAAUUAUUGGGCGUAAAGCGCGUGUAGGCGGCUUUGCAAGUCGGGUGUGAAAUCCCUCGGCUCAACCGAGGAAGUGCGCCCGAAACUGCAGAGCUUGAGUGCCGGAGAGGAUGGCGGAAUUCCCCAAGUAGAGGUGAAAUUCGUAGAUAUGGGGGAGGAACACCGGUGGCGAAGGCGGCCACCUGGACGGUAACUGACGCUGAGACGCGAAAGCGUGGGGAGCAAACGGG